GACGAACGCUGGCGGCGUGCUUAACACAUGCAAGUCGAACGGAAAGGCCCUGCUUUUGUGGGGUGCUCGAGUGGCGAACGGGUGAGUAACACGUGAGUAACCUGCCCUUUACUUUGGGAUAACUUCAGGAAACUGGGGCUAAUACCGGAUACGAGCUCCUGCUGCAUGGUGGGGGUUGGAAAGUUUCGGCGGUUGGGGAUGGACUCGCGGCUUAUCAGCUUGUUGGUGGGGUAGUGGCUUACCAAGGCUUUGACGGGUAGCCGGCCUGAGAGGGUGACCGGCCACAUUGGGACUGAGAUACGGCCCAGACUCCUACGGGAGGCAGCAGUGGGGAAUAUUGCACAAUGGGCGGAAGCCUGAUGCAGCAACGCCGCGUGCGGGAUGACGGCCUUCGGGUUGUAAACCGCUUUCGCCUGUGACGAAGCGUGAGUGACGGUAAUGGGUAAAGAAGCACCGGCUAACUACGUG
rnacentral:rRNA from 1 species